rnacentral:rRNA from 1 species
CAUGCAAGUCGAGCGAAUGGAUUAAGAGCUUGCUCUUAUGAAGUUAGCGGCGGACGGGUGAGUAACACGUGGGUAACCUGCCCAUAAGACUGGGAUAACUCCGGGAAACCGGGGCUAAUACCGGAUAACAUUUUGAACUGCAUGGUUCGAAAUUGAAAGGCGGCUUCGGCUGUCACUUAUGGAUGGACCCGCGUCGCAUUAGCUAGUUGGUGAGGUAACGGCUCACCAAGGCAACGAUGCGUAGCCGACCUGAGAGGGUGAUCGGCCACACUGGGACUGAGACACGGCCCAGACUCCUACGGGAGGCAGCAGUAGGGAAUCUUCCGCAAUGGACGAAAGUCUGACGGAGCAACGCCGCGUGAGUGAUGAAGGCUUUCGGGUCGUAAAACUCUGUUGUUAGGGAAGAACAAGUGCUAGUUGAAUAAGCUGGCACCUUGACGGUACCUAACC